rnacentral:lncRNA from 1 species
GGAGCAGGCAUCUUUCAAGAAAAAGUUUACUUGAAAGAAGAAAAAGAAUAAGCUUGUGAAGAAGCAGAAGAAGGAGAACAGACCGAAGAAGGAUACUUCAAAGAAGGCUGUAGAUAAAGAAAAAUGUUUCCACUACAACACUGAUGGUCAUUGGAGGAGGAACUGUCUGCUAUACUUAAAAAGCCUAAAGACCCAAAAUGGUGACAC